UACGUAGGGGGCAAGCGUUGUCCGGAAUCAUUGGGCGUAAAGCGCGUGUAGGCGGCUCGGUAAGUCUGCUCUGAAAGCCCGGGGCUCAACCCUGGGAGGCGGGUGGAUACUGCUGAGCUCGAGUCCGGAAGAGGCGAGUGGAAUUCCUGGUGUAGCGGUGAAAUGCGCAGAGUAUCAGGAGGAACACCAAUGGCGAAGGCAGCUCGCUGGGACGGUACUGACGCUGAGACGCGAAAGCGUGGGGAGCAAACAGG
rnacentral:rRNA from 1 species